AAAAACAAAAACACUCGCUCUCAUCUCUCAUCUCUCAUCUCUCUCUCACUCCGUCUGCCUCUUCUCAAUUGUCGCCCACAUCGCUCUCUCUCCUCUCUUUUGUUCUUUCUGGGCAAUUCUCAGGAUUGGUCCAUCUUCCGAUGAUGGGUGGGUUUCGAUCAUUUCCGUCGUUCAAAGAUUCAUUCUUUCUUUUCACUGGUUGUUAUCUCAGUACUUAAUCUAUUCUUUUAGCUUUGUUUUAUCUCAAUUUCAUAUUGUUCCCUUGUCUAUAUGCAUUUGUUGAUGUGUAUAUUGCUCAAUUUCACAGCUUUUGCAUGUCCUGUGUGAUUUUGGACUCUGAUUUUCAUAUGGUUUUUGGGUGUGCACUGGAAAACUAGUUCACAAGGUCCAAUGACUAGCUAGGCAUAAAUUGACUAUGCUAGGAAUCCAAUCAGAUGAUGAACCACAGUUUACUUAGGUAAAUAUUUGUCUUUUAUAUAUGUUAACCAGGUUAAUCAUUUGUUUUUUGCACAAUAAGAUGGCCAAAGGGUAAGUUGGAGUUCUCUAAGGACUGGAAAGCCAAAUCCGAUUGCCACCUUGGAGAGAAUUAAGCGCAAUUAUAAUGAGUGGUUGGAAACGAUCAACUGUAAUGAAGCUCAAAUUGAUGAUCGAACUGGGAAUGAGCCACCCUCUCAUGCCAGUCAGCAUAAUUGGCAACCCCCUCCCCACCCAUUUGUGAAAAUCAAUGUCGAUGGUGCCUGGGAUGAAACCAACCAUACAAGUGGGGUGGGAGUAAUCAUUAGAAAUCAUAGAGGUUUCUCUAUUGUAGGUGCAAGUCUACAUGGGAACCACAACUCUUCCAUAGAAGUGGAAGCGGAUGCAGUGGUAAAAGGUCUUCAGUUUGCAGCCCAUUUGAAGCUUAAAAAUAUCAUUAUGGAAGGUGACUGUCUUGAGAUCAUCAGGGCCUUGGAGAAUCAAGCCAACCAUCACAGUUGGAAGAUCUCUCCCAUAGGGUUUACCUUCGUUCACUGGAAUCAGAUGGAGCUGGAUCCCCAGAGAAGCUAACCGUGUUGCGGAUGCAGCGGCUAAGCUUGCUAAAAUGAGGUUGUGCUCACAGGAUUGGGCUAAUAGGCCCCCAACCUUCCUCCUGUCUAUUUUGAGAAGUGAUGGUCUUCCUGGCCCUCCCUAACUAUCCAUCAGUUUGCUACAGUUUGUUUCUGUUUUGUUAGUAGGUUCUAGUUGUAGGUUCCAUCUUAUGUGUUUGUCUCCUUUCUUUCCCUGUAAGUCUUGCCUUUCUGGCCUUUGCAAUGAAUUUUUCUUCAGACAAGAAAAAAAAGGGGGUAAGUUGGAGUUCAUAGAUGUACAAGUACAACUUUGCUUAACUUAGCUGAGUCAGAUGCAUUUUGUUGCCGACUUGCCUUUUUAUGAUGACUCGUUUAGUGUUAUUGUGUGCUUCAACUUAGACUAAUUAUACUCGAGUUACUGAAGUUGGAAACUUUAUACUUAAAGUCUGUGCUUGUGAAUUCCAUUUGUUUCUACAAUUACUUCAUAUCAUGUGGCAUAUGAUCCAUUUCCUGCCUUACAGGUUUGACUAGGAGUUUAACAAUGAAGUUGCAACUCAAGUAAUCUAGCUAUUUGCAAGAUUUGGAAUUAACCUAGUGGAAAAGUUUGAAGUUGAAGGUGGUGUUAUAUUCAUGGCAGCUCCAGUCAAUCUGUUGCAACUGGAUUUCAGAAUUUUCAAAAGUUAAAGUUGUCACCGGAGCUUAACCAGAAGUUGAAGUUGUCACCGGAUCUUAACCAGAAGUUGAAGUCAUUUAGUAGAAGUUGGUUUAUAGAGGUAGAGAAGUUGAAGUUAUUUAGUAGAAGUUGGUUUAUAGAGGUAGAAAUGCUCUAGUCAUGAUAACGAGGCCAUCAUAUAUUCCUUGGUGAAAUAUUUCUUUACUUGUUCCAGUGUGUAAGUCUUUGGAUUGCUGGUUUGAUGAACUUCGUUGGAGUUAUUUUGCUAUGUAUUGCUGUUUGGUAUG